rnacentral:rRNA from 1 species
UACGAGGGGGGCGAGCGUUGUUCGGAAUUAUUGGGCGUAAAGGGUGCGUAGGCGGUUUGGUAAGUCUCUUGUGAAAUCUAUGGGCUCAACUCAUAGUCUGCAAGGGAAACUGCCGGGCUUGAGUGUGGGAGAGGUGAGUGGAAUUUCCGGUGUAGCGGUGAAAUGCGCAGAUAUCAGGAAGAACACCCGUGGCGAAGGCGGCUCUCUGGGACGGUACUGACGCUGAGACGCGAAAGCGUGGGGAGCGAACAGG